UACGGGGGGGGCAAGCGUUGUUCGGAAUUACUGGGCGUAAAGGGCGCGUAGGUGGCCUUCUAAGUUGAACGUGAAAUCCCUGGGCUCAACCCAGGAACUGCGUCCAAGACUGGGAGGCUUGAAUCCGGGAGAGGGAUGCGGAAUUCCAGGUGUAGCGGUGAAAUGCGUAGAUAUCUGGAGGAACACCGGUGGCGAAGGCGGCAUCCUGGACCGGUAUUGACGCUGAGGCGCGAAAGCCAGGGGAGCAAACGGG
rnacentral:rRNA from 1 species